ACUCUUUUAGUACAAAAUAGUACAUGUAACUUCCAAUUACAAAAUUUAAAAACAUUAAAAAGAGUA
rnacentral:tRNA from 1 species